GGUGGUCUAAACCACUCAUGCUCUGCAAAGACAAGCGCCUGUACAGAACAGACAAGCUGCUUGCACAGCCCUGUUCUGCUUGCACAGCAGACCCUGGCCAGAAUUAGGUCAGAAUCCGUUCCCUGGCUAUAUGGUUUGGUUCGAGGGAGAGUAGCCACCGGUGGCAGACGUGGGCAGCAGCCAAGCCCUUAUGCCACAUGGAAACUAGCAUUGUAGCCGCCAGUGCGAGAAAAUCCACUCCGGUAACGAACUGAGCAAAAUGGAGACGGGCUACGCACAAGCCUCCGAUUUAGAAGCAAGCCACACGGACUUGUGAUCUGCCCGCCAUGAAAAGAGCCCGGGUGUCUGCAGAAGAUGCUAUGAUGUGCCACAAGCUCUCGGACCAUCAUAGAGAGAUCAAUGGUGCAGCGUGGGCUUCUCUGGACCAGGAAACGAUGUCCUGACUUCUCACAACUUCACCUUCUGUUCGCCCCGCCUCCCUGUUGUGAACAUAUGUGUUGGACCAAGCACCGGGACACAUGGUUUGGCUGUGAAAACAAAAUUUAAGAUUGUUCCAAAAGAUCUAGGGCAUAUGUUCUCCAGAGACAGAACUCAGGACUGUGUAUACAGUGGGUGCUUAGUUAUUGCCUGCAUUGAAAAAAAUCACAGCAGCCUUCCAGAAGACAUCUUGGAUUUCAUUCACAGAUUUCAUCUACAGCUAGUUUUGUCGUUCUUUGUUUAGUUUGGUUUCUAAAUUGUGAAACUCUUGCAGACUCCCACACUAGGCCAGUUGCCUGUGCCUUUGACUAGCCCACCAAAGUAUCACCAUCUUCUUUUCGUAAGAUUAAAAUUAAACGGGAAGGGGGGAGGAGGGAGAUGGGUGAGAUUCGGAGGCAUGACAUGGAGACAGGAUGUAAAAGACACAAAGAAUAAAAUUUUUAAAAAGUUUUAAAAAUUAAAUGGGGAAAAAAGGAAGAGAAACAUUGUAAUUAAAUUACAAUCUCAGAAAGAAACAUAAAAGAAUCCCCAAAAAUAAAUAAAUAAAAUUUAAACUUAAAAGCAAAGCCUCAAAGGGCCCCCUCCCCCCAGAUCCUGGGACCUUUAAAAUAUAGGUAGAAGUACGAUGUACACUUGGAAAGUAAGUAAGUAUUUGAAAAGUAACCUGCUACUCCAAACGCAUCACAACAGCAGGAUGAGCCCAAUGAAGAAUUAACUGUCGGCCUCUUUAGAUAAGAAGCACAUCCCUUCAAAACCAACUGCAAUUACAGAACUUCAAAGUCAAACAAUUUGGCUCAGCCACAUUGGUUUUAAUCUCACAUCAAAAGCAGCUGUGUCUUGGUUGGCUUAUGAAAAGAAAGCAAGUCUUCCCAGCCAAUAUGAAGCAUGAGAAAACAAGGGUACUAUUGCUUGAAAACCUCCAAUAAAUAAAUAGUGUCACAUUGUGAAACCUGCACAGCAGUUCCGAAUUAUUAUUUUUCUAAAAUAAGAUAUCAUGCUUCAUAAAUGAAGAGCAGGUGUAAAACCCAAACGGGGAACAUCCAUUUUGAUUGAUAAGUUUUACAUAUCAAGUUUUACAUUGAUAAGAAAUACAUAUUAAUGAAUGAAACAGCCAAAACCAAGAUCCGUUCCCAACACUUGAAUGGGGAACCAAUUUAAGAGGAAGACCCUAAAUUCACACGAAUGGAUUCUAGUCUCUGGGACUGAAUGAAAUGCAGACUCUAGCUGAGUAGAUCCUGGGUGGGGGUUAGGUCAUCCCUGUGUGUCACAGGCUUCUUCCCGACGACGUUAGCUUCGGAUUUGUGGACUCACUUUGAGCAGCAAGAAAGUAGAACUUUUGACCUCUGAGUCCCUCCCACACAUCUAUCACUCCUUGCCAAAAGCCUAACAAGAUGAAAUAAGGCACUGUCUGUAGCCCUGAAGGGGGUAAGGGCUAUUUUCAUGUGUUAAACAACUGCCCUUGGGGCCAACACAAUAUAGAGCAAAACAAAACCAAGGUUUUAAUUGCAGAGACAGGCUCAUUAGAAGCAUAUCAUUAGAGAGAUUUCAAUGAAAGGCAACUGAAACGGGAAACAGAGGCCAGGGCUUUUGCCUGAAGUUUCCCAGCAAAGUUUGGUGAGAGGAGUGGCAGAGAGGGGGUUGGGGGGAACCAGCUGGUAGCCAAAGUCAUUAUCAGCUCUGCUUCCAGAAACUGAAAAAUCAAUGUGAGUUUGUACAGCAAAGGGCGGGCUUGGAGAUGGGUUCAGCAUUUAGUGCAGAUCUGAGAUUGAAGGGGGGAAUUACAGUGUUACUGUAGAGGUCCAGUGGGUGUUUUAAAAGCACUGGUACUUAACCUUCCAGCAGAAGCUCUUCAUCUGUGUGAUGGAAAAAAAAUAACAACACAUCCUCCCAAGGAUGAUUGUGAGAAUUAAAAUGAAUUCUAUUAAGGGGAUGUUAUUAUACUACAGUAAUUGAAAAGGAGUCUGACAGCAAGCCCACAGAGGCACUAUCUAGGCUACUAUUAUACAGACCCACAUUACAUUGAUUUCAAAUAUCCCAGGUCAAGAGCUUCAGCCAUUAAAAUAUGCUUGGCAUCACCAGGAGAGUCAGCCAUUGAGAAAUGUCCAUCAGCGUAAAAUGGCUGACAAUUGCCCUGCUGGCACAUGAUCCUCGCAGAAGCGGGGAGGAGACACUUAUUUAAUUUCACACUCAACAGACAUAAUAAAUUGGAAAAGAAAAACCUCAUCUGAAGAGAAGAUACUAAGUCUGUGGUGUGAUUAUAAAAAGAAACGCAUGGUUUUUCAGCCUGCCAAUUGGAGAGUCAAACCAUCAAAAUUUUUUUAAUUAAUAUUUUGGUUACAAUUUCUGAGAUGUAAUUUAAAGUCAAUGUUUCCUACACCAUCUCCCAGCUAAAGGUCCAUAAUAGCCCAUAGGGAGUCUAAAAGGAUUACAACACAACUGUGCAGUGCGGUGGGAAUGUGUAACUCUUUUUUUGGGGGGGGUGUUGAGAUAAGGUUUCUCUGUGUAGCUUUGGAGUCUGUCCUGGAACUAGCUUUGUAGACCAGGAUGGUCUCUGUAGACUAGGAUGGCCUCCAACUCACAGAGAUCCUCCUGCCUCUGCCUCCCAAGUGUUGGGAAUAUGUAGCUUUUCAGGCGUACCAUAUAUUAGUCAAGGAAAGCACUGGCAUUUCAGCUACAGGUGGCUCUCACAGGCAUUUACCUGAUCGUUAUAACAGUAAUCAGAAGACUUGUGACAAAAAUGCUUCCCACUUGCCCCAAGGAAAACCCAUUUCCAGUAACAAAUGAGGCAGAGAAUGUGAAUAUGUCAUUUAAAAGAACAGCCUGGAAGAACAUGGCCAGCACUAGGAGCUAGGGACCUACAGAUGGCCAGGCAACCUAGCAGCAAUCUUCAUGACCAUUGAGAGAUCCUGUGUCACAAAUUAAACUAGAAAGAGAUCAGAGAUAGAGGAAGACACUGGACAUUCUCCUCUGGCCUCCAGUGAGCAUGUGUAUACACACACACACACACACACACACACACUGGCCUGCAACUGAAAAACCAUGAGCCCUAGUAUGUAUCUCAAUUGAAGACAGGAAGUUUGUCUAAUUUUAUGGCCUCUGUGUCUGUAAUUCCAGGGUAGUGAAUGAAUGAAUGACCCCAUAUAAAUUUGACCACUGGACUUAUUCCUCUCACUGGCCAAAUAAGGGACCAGAAUUAAAUUCAGUCCUUUUCCAUUCAUUCAUUCAUUCAUUCACUGUUACCCUUCUUGAACCAAUAGUCAGGAGUUUGUAUCAAAGCUGUCUUGUAUCAAAGAAACUUCACAGGACAGCCUUAUCUAAUAUAAAUAAAUAAUGGAUUGUUCUAGAGAUUGGCUUCAUAUGCAUCAUACAGGUGAUAAUAGAGGUACUAAUCUUUAUUGCAGCUGUUCUCCAACAGGCAAGCAUUACUUAGAUCUAUUUUGAGGCUGGACAAGCAGAGCCUCCUAUAUCCUGGGCAUUUUAGGCUGUUGUGUACUAAAGGAUAAAAUCCUCACUGACACUUCAAAGGAGCCCGAACUUCUUCUAGCAGGGUAUGUCCUUUUCUUGGGUGAAAAUGUUGGUCCCAAAUGAAGGUCAGAUUCAGGGGCCUUUCCCAGUGAAGAUGCGCAUCUGCUGAGCAGCCAAAGACAGCACCAUAAGGCUUGGACCACCUCAAGGAAUUACAGUAUCUCUCAUGUGUAUCAAGGCUCCUGCAUCACAUCCAGGGGCCUCCCAGCAUUUCUAACCAUUCACCUCCCCAUCAUAUAACAAAGGCUACAUCUUAUAGUGGUUCUCAACCUGUGGGCCACAACCACACAGGGGUCAAAUAUCAGACAUUCAUAUUACAAUUCAUAGCAGUAGCAAAAUUACAGUUAUGAAGUAGCAAUGAAAAUAAUUUUAUGGUUGGGGUCACCACAAGAUGAACUGUAUUUAAGGGUCACUGCCUUAGACCCUUUUCUUCAUGGGGCUUUUUCCUAAGAGAAAUGCUAUUUUUUUUUAUUGUUUUAAUGCAUUACCUUUUGGUCUCUCCAGCACUUAGUAUUGCAUGAAGCACAUGCUAAAACCUACUAAAAUUAAGAGAUAAAUGAUUUAAGGGUUCAGCUUGAUUGGGGGAAUCUCGAGAAAUUUCUGGAAUAACCAAGGAUCUGAUCGUGUGCAGCUUGUACAGAACACCCAUAAAAGAAAAGCAAUUUCUAAAUCAGCUGACAUCUUCACAUUACCAAAUUAAAAUAGCCCUCACGCUGCAUGUCACACAAAUACAUACAUGUCCUACCCCAUGAUAAUAUAGCAGUAAAAACCAUGUGUCUGGGUCGUUUCUAGCCUGGGUUUAAAUAUAAAUUCUUCCGCAUCCCAGCCUUGAAAAAAUUACCAUUCUCUCAAAGCCUCCACCUUCUCUGUAGCAGGAGAUGGAGAAAGAAGAAAUGAGAUGACUCACAAUGCUGGAUCUGAGUUGUUGGACAGAUGAAAACAGAGAGCCUCAGAAACGUGUUCUGAAGGUGCUACUGUUUCAUCUUAUGAUUCCUGGUGUCACAGAAUGAGGAAUGGCAGCCAUGUGGAAACUCAUGGAAAUAGUGGUUCUAGAACAUUUUGGGUCCUGUGAGCACUUCAUCACUUCAUUCUGCUCAUCCUGCCUGGAGCUUGCUGUUUUGUGAUUGUUUUGCAACGGAACGGGGAGCAGUCAGAUAAAGCAUCAUUGAUAGAUUAUUGACCAGCAGGAAAAGAGGCGGGAGAAAGCCCCAGCAGGGCUGUGGGAGCAUUCUGGAAGCAAAGAGAAGUGACCUGAUGGGGUCAGGAGGGCGCUCACCUUUACUUUGACUUCCCAGCAGCCUUGGAACCUCACUGAUACCCAGCUCCUGAUAAGAAGUUUCCCAGCAUUCACCUUGUUCCUGGGACAAUGUGACAGUUCAAACCAGAUCCAGACUAGACCAGAACAGAGUUUUGAGGGCAAGAUUAGUAAACUUCAAAAGCUUUUGAAGACUUGAUAAGCCAGGGUGAGGGUAGGAAUAUUUAUUUAAAAGCUUACAGUCCCUGAAAUAUUCCAUCUGAGCCCCUCAGUCACCCACCUUCCUUCCCCUUGUCCUUUUUGUGACCUUCUCUCAGUUCUUGAAGCAUCUUGCCUUGGAUCAGCUGCAUUCCCAGCCACAAUACCAAUUUUUGCCUAGUUAAGUUUCCAGAGACACAGCCUCUCCUAGGGUCCCUUGAGGGUUUAGAAAGAGAAGAUCAACAUUUACAUUGGUAAAAUACACUCAGCUGCGGGGAGGGCUAAUCUUCUUUACAACCUUCCACUGCAGCUGUGUUGCUUGGAGAUCGAAAGCUCUCCCCCAGUGAGUGCCAGGACACUGGGUCCCAACCUGGAGAAAUAUAGCUGAUGGAAAUCAUGGAUGUCUCAUACCCAGAUCAGUUCAGUGAGUCUCAGAGGACCAGGAGCAGAAAGCAAGAGAGGAAAUUUGUAGAGAUAAAGUCAGGGCUCAGAUAUGGAUAUUUAGGAUAAACUCCACAAUGAUGAUGGGGGAGUGGGUGAACUCCUUGGUGAUCAUGGGGGAUAGAGUGAACUCAGUGAUGAUGGAAGAUAGGGUGAACUCAGUGAUCAUGGAGGAUAGAGUGAACUCCUCAGUGAUGGGGGAUACAGUGAACUCCUCGGUGAUGAUGAGGGUAAAGAUGAACUCAUCCGUGAUGGGGGAUAGGGUGGACUUCAUAGGUUUUGAGAAAGGCAGGAGAUUCUUCACUGGGGUCAAGGGAUAAGAGAAAGCCUUUCCUGGCAUUCCUCCCUCAAAUAAAACUAACUAACCUCCCACAGCCUUCUCAUUUUCUUUUCUUCUCUUUUUUUUCAAUGCUACACAGAAAAUACAAAUUGAGUCAGCUGAGAGUUCCUGGGCAGCAGUUCAAGUCCAACUGAACCUUGCCAUAAACUGGAAGCAGACACCAAUGCAUUCCCAGCAGUGGAGGAGGCUGAGGAGGCGGUGGCUUAAGAAACAAACAGCAGCAGCAGCAACAAGAUCUUUAAAACUACAACCCUGUCAGGGCGUUGGUGGUGCACGCCUUUAAUCCCAGCACUCGCGAGGCAGGGGCAGGCAGAUCUAUGUGAGUUUGAGACCAGCCUGGUCUACAAAGCUACACAGAGAAACUCGGUCCCCAAAAAACAAAACAAAACAAACUAGAACCCUGAAGUCACUCAGAGUUCAGUGUUAAAUAUGCUUUAGAAAAAUUGUGAAAUGGCAUUGCAUAAACAAAUCUUCCUCUGUUUUUCUCAAAAGCAAAAUUUUUAAACAAGGCUUCAAAGUCACCCUCCCUACAUCCAUAAUAAAAUUUUACAUUGUUAUCAUUUAGACAUUGCAUGAUAGCAUCUGAACUCUGUGGCGUAACUUGUAUUUUCUCAGUAUAAAAGUAAGCUCUGGGUCUCCAAGUUCAAGGCCAGCCUGGCUAUCAUGGUGAAUUCCAGGACAGCCUGGGCUACAUAGUGAGAUCCUGUCUCAAAGAAGAAGGGGGGCGGGGAGGAAGAGGAGGAGAGGAAGAGGAGGAGAGGAAAGAAAAGGUCGGAGAACGGCCCAGGUGAGGCGAGAUCAAUUCAUGGCAUGAUGACUAGAAGACAGCGCCCUCAAAUCAGGGAAGUAAGUGCUCUGUGUGCCUCUGGCGGGAAGGAGGACAGUUGUGGGCUACCCGGACAAAUCUUCAACGCACAGCUUAAAAUAAACAAGGUGCAGAAAUCACACAGUCUAAUGCUGUUUAUCAAAGUUCAUAAACAUUGCAAACCCUGACUAACUAUGGAUGCUUACAGACACGUAUAAAAAUGCAAAUAUACAAAAAAUAUACACAAAGAGUUCACAGUGGUGUUUUUUUCCCAAGGAAAGAGGUUGGUGAAGGAAUACUCAGGACACAGGGAUUUUAAAAACUGCUUUUCUUUUUUAAAGCAUUGUGAAAAGAACUAGCAGAAAGGAAGAGAGAGAGAGAGAAGGAAAGAGAGAAAGAGAGAGAGAGGAAGAGAGAAAGAAAAUUGAAAUGUUGCCACAAGCAGCAUUCACCUAUUUUGUUUUCUUUUGUGUAAUGCUUCGUUGCAUGCUUGAAACAUUUCAUCAAAAAUGUUGAGCCUUAAACAAAAGUUUUCAAGUGAAGCAGCCAGGGGUUCCUGGAAGGACUUAGGUGGGCUUUGCAGGCCCAAGAGAUGCUAUUUUACUCCAGCUUCAUCUGUUUCUAAGAGCCUUUGGUGAGGAGUGUGGGGACUCCCCCUUUUAAGCUUUUGUGAAAUCACUCCACCCAAUGGGUUUGCAGAAACAGCCUGCAAUAGGUAUCUAAAAGCUUUUGUCAGACACUCAAGGGAGGAAAUGCUAUUUAACAAGUCUCUCAGACUAAACACAGAUACUUGCAAGCCUAGUCUUUUUUAACUGCCCAUUCAAAUGCCAAAUGGUUCUCUCCCUAGUACUGAUAGUUAUGAGCUUCAAAAUUUGGGGUAAAGUCACUUACCCUUCUAGGUCUUGGUGACCUUAUAUGGACCUAAAUGGCAUCUAACAUCUGACUUUGGAUAGUCAGUAGCUUUAGUCUGAGAACAGAGGUCAUGGGCCAGAUAUAGAUAGGCAAUAUAUUCCAUUCACCAACCAUAAUUUAUUCUACAGAUGCAGGUUAUCCUCACUGGACCUCUUCUGCCAAAUGCCCACCUCUUGUUACCCUCAUCAUCUUUAUAGAGCUCCAAUCACCAAGUAGACACUCUUGCGGAUUAAACAUCUCAUUAAAAUGCAAACCCGAGAGUGUAAUGCCACCUUCAAUCCACUGUGUGUCCACCCUCUUCUAAUUCUCGAAGCCACUUUUAACACAGAGGAGAAUACUGAGGCCUAGCACAUGAUCUGCUCAAAGUGACACUGUUUCCAUGUGGGAAACUCAGACUUCAAGGCUGCCUUCAAAAUUUCAAGUUUGGACUUUUCCAGUGACAUAAUUGCCUCAAAAGCCGUAAUUGGGGGCGGGGCUCAGAAUCCCAAGAAAGCAAAAGUCAGAGAGCAAAACAGUUAAGGGAAGGAUGGACUUACCCAUAGGGAGCACACCCACAGGGAGCAUGGAGAGAAUGAAUAAGGCUGAAAACUCCAUUCUGUAUCACUUUACAUCGAGGGUAGCUCCCUUCGUAACUGUGAAUUUCAAAAUUACAAAGAUUUAUACAGGUUGAGAACAAGCUACCAAGGUAUGCAUGACAGUUUCCCCUCUGAAUGUUCCUACCUUAAGACCUGGCACAUUAACUAUACAAGGAUUGAUUGUAUAAAUGAACAUGUAAAGCCAUGGGCACCAUAUGUGGACAGGGGAUGACAAUAAAGACAAAGAUGACGAUGA